rnacentral:rRNA from 1 species
GACGAACGCUGGCGGCGUGCUUAACACAUGCAAGUCGAACGGAAAGGCCCUGCUUUUGUGGGGUGCUCGAGUGGCGAACGGGUGAGUAACACGUGAGUAACCUGCCCUUGACUUUGGGAUAACUUCAGGAAACUGGGGCUAAUACCGGAUAGGAGCUCCUGCUGCAUGGUGGGGGUUGGAAAGUUUCGGCGGUUGGGGAUGGACUCGCGGCUUAUCAGCUUGUUGGUGGGGUAGUGGCUUACCAAGGCUUUGACGGGUAGCCGGCCUGAGAGGGUGACCGGCCACAUUGGGACUGAGAUACGGCCCAGACUCCUACGGGAGGCAGCAGUGGGGAAUAUUGCACAAUGGGCGGAAGCCUGAUGCAGCAACGCCGCGUGCGGGAUGACGGCCUUCGGGUUGUAAACCGCUUUCGCCUGUGACGAAGCGUGAGUGACGGUAAUGGGUAAAGAAGCACCGGCUAACUACGUGCCAGCAGCCGCGGUGAUACGUAGGGUGCGAGCGUUGUCCGGAUUUAUUGGGCGUAAAGGGCUCGUAGGUGGUUGAUCGCGUCGGAAGUGUAAUCUUGGGGCUUAACCCUGAGCGUGCUUUCGAUACGGGUUGACUUGAGGAAGGUAGGGGAGAAUGGAAUUCCUGGUGGAGCGGUGGAAUGCGCAGAUAUCAGGAGGAACACCAGUGGCGAAGGCGGUUCUCUGGGCCUUUCCUGACGCUGAGGAGCGAAAGCGUGGGGAGCGAACAGGCUUAGAUACCCUGGUAGUCCACGCUGUAAACGGUGGGUACUAGGUGUGGGGUCCAUUCCACGGGUUCCGUGCCGUAGCUAACGCUUUAAGUACCCCGCCUGGGGAGUACGGCCGCAAGGCUAAAACUCAAAGGAAUUGACGGGGCCCCGCACAAGCGGCGGAGCAUGCGGAUUAAUUCGAUGCAACGCGUAGAACCUUACCUGGGUUUGACAUGGAUCGGGAGUGCUCAGAGAUGGGUGUGCCUCUUUUGGGGUCGGUUCACAGGUGGUGCAUGGCUGUCGUCAGCUCGUGUCGUGAGAUGUUGGGUUAAGUCCCGCAACGAGCGCAACCCUUGUUCACUGUUGCCAGCACGUUAUGGUGGGGACUCAGUGGAGACCGCCGGGGUCAACUCGGAGGAAGGUGGGGAUGACGUCAAGUUAUCAUGCCCCUUAUGUCCAGGGCUUCACGCAUGCUACAAUGGCUGGUACAGAGAGUGGCGAGCCUGUGAGGGUGAGCGAAUCCCGGAAAGCCGGUCUCAGUUCGGAUUGGGGUCUGCAACUCGACCUCAUGAAGUCGGAGUCGCUAGUAAUCGCAGAUCAGCAACGCUGCGGUGAAUACGUUCCCGGG